CACGUAGUUGGCCGGUCCUUCUUCUGCAGGUACCGUCACUUUCGCUUCGUCCCUGCUGAAAGAGGUUUACAACCCGAAGGCCGUCAUCCCUCACGCGGCGUUGCUGGAUCAGGCUUUCGCCCAUUGUCCAAUAUUCCCCACUGCUGCCUCCCGUAGGAGUCUGGGCCGUGUCUCAGUCCCAGUGUGGCCGGUCACCUCCCUCAGGCCGGCUACCCGUCGUCGCCUUGGUGGGCCGUUACCCCACCAACAAGCUGAUAGGCCGCGAGCUCAUCCAUCUCCGCCGGAGCUUUCCACCUCCGAUCAUGCGAAAGGAGGUCAUAUUCGGCAUUAGACGUCGUUUCCAACGCUUAUUCCGAUGAGAUGGGCAGAUUGCUCACGUGUUACUCACCCGUUCGCCGCUCGUGUACUCCCGAAGGAGCCUUACCGCUCGACUUGCAUGUGUAAGCACGCCGCAGCGUCUCUGAGCCAGGAGUCAACUCGU
rnacentral:rRNA from 1 species